GAUUCCCGCUAUUUUGUAUUUCGAAAGGCUCCCAUAAACUCCCGAUUCCCUCCUCCGCAUUCUCCUUCCUUCUCUAUCAGCUCGGCUCUCUGUAAAGUCUGUGAUAAACCAUCAUGACUUAAGAUCUUUAUAACUACCUGAUGUGGUUGCCAUAGAGAAGUAUCAAAGACCAGUGUCGAAUGAGGUUGGCAUCACAUCUUUUUGGAACAUCCAAAAUGAUGGUGUGGCUGGUUUUUAAACCACCUUGGAUAUUAAAAUUUGUGGUCAGGUUUUCUUAUAGCCUGAAAAGCAAAAGGCAGUAUGAUGGCCAUAAACCCAUGUUUCUAUAAUUCAUGGCAUGCAUCUUCUGUCGUGACUAUUAUGUAAUUGAUUAACUGUGGUUGGUGGGGAUAAGCUGAUACCCUUUGGGAUGCUUCAUGUGAUCCAUCUUUUUCUUUACCUAUUGAGAUGUUCUUUUUUUUCUUUUUUUUUCUCUCUCUCUGAACCUAGACCUAUGAACUUUUAUACUUAGGUGACACAUGGGUAAUGGUUAAGAUGGGACUGGGCUUGAGCCCAUCUUAAAGUUGCAAUUCUAAUUUCUUCUCACAUACAUUUUGGAUCUCAGGUAGCUUAAAGGCGAAUGGCCAGCUGGCUAUCCUGAUAUACACUCCCUUUUGCUCGUCAGGGAAAAAGGUCUUGCUGUCCCAAUGAUAUGUUUGGGGUUAGUCAGGAGCACAAGUGGGAGGAACCCAGACUGGCGCCACUUAACAGUGAAGGCGAUGUUUCCAUGCUGCAAAAAACUUGAUGCAAUUGCAAGGUGGCUCACAUGGCAAGGGCAAGAGCAGCUGUGGAUGAUCCUUCAUUUUAGCUAUGCCAAAAGAGAACGGAACAGCUUUUGGAAAAGCCCUACUUGUGUUGUUGCUGAGCUCCUUCUCUUUCUCUUUUCUGAGGCUUGAGCCAAUGCGGAGCCCGCGAUUUUUGGCUCUGAUGCCAAAGCGACCCAGAGUGGCCUCCCUAUGAUUCGAAUUUAAGACUAAGGUCUUUUUGGUUGCCCUCUUAGUACCAUCUGGGCUGUUAAAGUCUUGCGUCAUCGAGGUCCUCGUGGUCGUUAUAUGGACGUUCCCUCUCAACUGAAGAUGAUUCCUGCUUUAGUCAACUUGCAAAAGAUGUCCGAACAAGAUGUUCGGAUACACCCUCCGAUGGUUUUGUUAGUCAUCGCUCUAAUGAUCAAUCUGCUUCUUUUUGCUGAGUCAAAAAAGCUUACUUCCCUCUUCGCAUGAGAGCCCUUUUAUAGUGUCAGAAACUUUAUCCUCUUUAAUGGUGGGAAAACUUUUUGGCUUGUCAUGAUGGUGCUGAGGCGGUGGCAGAGUCAUCAUCGCUCUACAGGCGGCGGAAUGCGAGCUGUAACAGACUGUCUGAAGUGAUUCAGUAUGACCCACGUUUUACGGCCAAGGCUUCCUAGUUCCAGACAACAUAUCCGGACAAGGGAGAAAAUCGUCCGAGUAGCUGAUUUGAGAGUGCCAUAUGCCCCCCUAAAGGAUCCGGAUAGAGAGUUGAUGUGCCAUGUCGGCGUCUGGAGUGAUCCCUACAAUUUUCACUAAAAUUGCAGAACCAUACUU